rnacentral:rRNA from 1 species
AACGAACGCUGGCGGCAUGCCUAACACAUGCAAGUCGAACGAGACCUUCGGGUCUAGUGGCGCACGGGUGCGUAACGCGUGGGAACCUGCCCUUAGGUUCGGAAUAACUCCCCGAAAGGGGUGCUAAUACCGGAUAAUGUCUUCGGACCAAAGAUUUAUCGCCUUUGGAUGGGCCCGCGUUGGAUUAGCUAGUUGGUAGGGUAAAAGCCUACCAAGGCUACGAUCCAUAGCUGGUCUGAGAGGAUGAUCAGCCACACUGGGACUGAGACACGGCCCAGACUCCUACGGGAGGCAGCAGUGGGGAAUAUUGGAAAAUGGGCGAAAGCCUGAUCCAGCAAUGCCGCGUGAGUGAUGAAGGCCUUAGGGUUGUAAAGCUCUUUUACCCGGGAUGAUAAUGACAGUACCGGGAGAAUAAGCACCGGCUAACUCCGUG